AUGGUUGAUUAUAUUCCCUCUCAUUACAUCAUGGGCACACAAUCCUGGAAGGUGCUAAACUGGAACAUUAGAAGUCUUAAUUCCCCUGAUAAGUGGCUUCACAUACAAAAUAAAAUCACUGAAAGUGAAUGCUCUAUUGCCUGUUUCCAGGAAACCAAAAAAGAGCACAUUGACAUGGCUUUUAUCAAGAAGUUUUGUCCUCCUAGGUUCGAUUCUUUUGCUUUUUCACCAUCUAUGGGUAGAUCAGGAGGAAUUCUUACGGUUUGGUGUUCUCGUCACUUCAAAGGAGAAAUCUUGACUCAGAAUAACUAUGCUGUUUCUGUCCUUCUUCAAUCAACAAGAUGUGGAAGUUGCUGGACCUUAACCAAUAUUUAUGCUCCCUGCCAAGAUGAUAAAAAACUGGAGUUUUGA
rnacentral:rRNA from 1 species